CUGAAAUCGAAGAGGCAGAAAGGAGAACUAUCGACGAAUCGGAAUAAUUGCGCGCCUUUUAAAAUAGGAAGUAAAUAGAACUAUAGACGGGGUAAAGGAAGGAUUUCGGGCUUCGGUGGAUUUUUGCAAUGAAAGUUUUCCAUACCGUAGUAGCUGGUCCAAAAUAUCAGUCGGAGUUAUCGUUGAAUCUAAUCCUCCGGCUCUAAGAUAUAAGGGGUCACUCUAAAAUGCCGGUACACAGGGUGACUUGGGCGCUGGUAAUAAAUCUGCUACACAGGGUGGGUGUAAUAGCUAACUAUCGAUAAUACAAAGGCGUUGGCGGCUGUUUAAAACAUAUGUCUAACGAAUUUCUAGAUUUUUUGAUGGAGAAGGAGAAUUAGAAUAUUUUAAAGUAUCCACCAAAUAUAUUUACAUGUUAGGGGCAAAUAAUAUUAAAAUAUGAAUAUUCUAGGGGAAGUACCGACAAUUUUUCUUUUACUACUCUCUUUCAAUAGUUAGCAAAGAAAUCAUAUUAACAAUAAAACUGAUACAUUCUGCUGGAUCUUGGUUUUAUAAAUGUUUUUUGUUUAUGUUG